rnacentral:tRNA from 1 species
GGGGUUGUGGCUCAAUGGUAGAGCUCUUGUCUCUCGCACAUGUGAGGCACUGGGUUUGAUCCUCAGCACCGCA